rnacentral:rRNA from 1 species
GACGAACGCUGGCGGCGUGCCUAACACAUGCAAGUCGAACGGGGUGAAGCCCUUCGGGACUUCACUUAGUGGCGAACGGGUGAGUAACGCGUGAGGAACCUGCCUUUCAGUGGGGGACAACAGUUGGAAACGACUGCUAAUACCGCAUGACGCAUAGGGGUCGCAUGAUCUUUAUGCCAAAGAUUUAUCGCUUCAAGAUGGCCUCGCGUCUGAUUAGCUGGUUGGCGGGGUAACGGCCCACCAAGGCGACGAUCAGUAGCCGGACUGAGAGGUUGAACGGCCACAUUGGGACUGAGAUACGGCCCAGACUCCUACGGGAGGCAGCAGUGGGGAAUAUUGGGCAAUGGGCGCAAGCCUGACCCAGCAACGCCGCGUGAAGGAAGAAGGCUUUCGGGUUGUAAACUUCUUUUAAGUAGGGAAGAGCAGAAGACGGUACCUCUAGAAUAAGCCACGGCUAACUACGUG